rnacentral:ribozyme from 14 species
CUUCUUCUUUUUUUCUUUUUUUCUUUUUUCUUUUUUU